GGUGGCGAUGCCUGGCGGAUGGGAACAAACCUGGGACCGAGGAGAAAGGCAGGCCCAGGGCACCCUUGCGGCGGACCCAGGCACUGAGGGCCUGCGGCUGCCGGCCAGGGCCGCGGUGCGGCGGAUGCGGCAGGGACCUGCGUGCAGGCUCCCCGAGCCCCGCGCCGGUCGCGAGCGAUCCUUCGAAGCCUCGUAACUCCAUCAGAUCCGAUCUAAGCAGCCACAAUGAAUGCUUAGUGCAGUCUCAAUGGAGCAUAGUUCUGCCUUGCACCAAUGUCAGAUGCCACCUGAACAGUGACAGAGGCACCUGGAGAAAGAAGACAGGACAUUCCUCUCUCAGCAGUGAGCCCGUCUGGACAGCUGACAGCUGCUGGAGCCGGGAGUGUCCAACCUGCAGCCCCUGGGCCACAUGUGGCUCAGGAUGACUAUGAUGCCGCCCAACACAAAACUAUAAACUUACUUAACACAUUACAAGAUUCUUUUGUGAUUACAUGUCACAGUAUAUGUAAUGUGUGGCCCAGGACAACUCUUCUUCCAGUGUGGCGCAGAGACAUGCAGAGACGCAGGGGUUAGGCACCCCUGCAAGGCUUUUAGACAUGACAAUGAUAUGAUGUGAUUUAUAUUUUUAAAAGAUCACUAUGAGUUAUAUUUUUAUUUAUAUACACUUUAUUUUAUUUCAUUUAUUUUUUAUAUUUUAAUAAUUUUGUAAACUUUUAAAUUAGAGUUGACAGUCAAUGUUAGUUCCAAGUGUAUACCUAGUGAUAAGACAUUUAUAAACUUACAAAGUGAUCUUCCCAAUAAGUCUAGUAUGGGAUCUCUUUUAAAAGUGUAUUAAUCCCAUUCAUGAGGUCUGCACCCUCAUGAUCUAAUCACUCCCAAAGACCCCCCCUUUUAUCUGGUUCAAUUGAAUGGCCUGGGUGACACUGCUGGAUGAAACUACGCAGGCGCUGGUGAGCAGUUCCGCACUGCUCCGUGAGCAGCAGUUCUCUACCCCAGGUCCCUCCCAUCUCCAUCCACUCACCGGCACCCUCUUCCACCCCACCCCAUUCUCCUCUAGAGGGCACUCUGUAAUUUGACAGUAGAAGUGAGACUGGAGAUGUGUCUGAGACACAAAAAGCUUGAGCAGGCAGGCUUUUGACCAGUGAUUUUCAGCCAGUGCACAGCGACACACUGGUGUGCUGGGAGGACGUGUAGAGCUGCAAUAUCUGACUAUUUAGAUGGGGGCGCUGGUCUCUUUCCAAUGCUUUUAUCAUGCAUUUCUCCUUUUUUCCUCUCUUUUCUCUCUUUCCUUAAACAUUUCUAAUGAAUUGACUAUUACAUUUCCUAAGUUCUGAAAUGGCCAACAUUUCUUUAGGCUCCUGCUUAAAACUAUGUUGUUACUUUUUAAAUUUGACAAUCUAAGGGAAAAGGAUCAGUGCCUCUGACUAAAUAGUCAGGUAUUUCAUGUUUUAAAAAUUUGUGUGGCACACCGGAUGAAAAAUCACUCACUUAGAUGAAGAGGGUGAGGUGUGCUUCAGGUAUGGAGAGUGGGCUCGAAGCCAGAAGACAGGAGAGAUGGAAACAGCAGACCAGAGCAGCUGCCUCUCAGAGGCCUGUGAGUGAGGGGACAGGGCAGGGGAACAGGAGACCCUCUCUGAAGAAGGGAGGGCAGGGGGACAGGGGACCCUGGGAAGAGGCAGGGAAGGGGAAACAGGACCCUCCAUGGGCAGAGCAGGGAACCCUCCAUGGAGGUUGCAGUAUCCCCUGCCCCACAUCCCCUGGCCUUCCUCCUUUCUCUCAUCCAUAACAGGUCCCUGUCAUCCCUGCCCCAACCAUGGAGUCCCUAUCCCCCUGCCAUCCCCACUCCAUGGAGGGUCCUCUGUCCCCCCUUGCCCACAUCUCUCCAUGGAGGGUACCCUAGACACUCUGGCCUGCUCUCUCCAAGGAUGGCCCCCUAUGCCCCCUUCCUCUGUUCCCUUUAUGGAAGGCCCCCUAUGCCCCCUUCCUCUGUUCCCUUUAUGG